rnacentral:lncRNA from 1 species
UGGAUACUGCCACAGCCAAUGCAGUCUCUGUCUUCAUCCAUGCGGAAUACUCAGCAGAACGACCUGGAUGACUGACAGAAAACUCAGCCGACUCUCGUUGAUCCCAACAGGCAUAUAACCUGGAUCUGUCCUCUGCUGACAAACGAUGCGACGCGAAGCGCUAAUUCGCUGCCCCCUCAUACGGAUGGAAAUCCUGAAACUGGUCAAACUGACUCAUCACUGCCAGUGGGGGGUAG